ACACAGGUAGUCAAGAUGAGAAUUCUAAGGUGAGCGAGCGAACUCUCGUUAAGGAACUCGGCAAAAUGACCCCGUAACUUCGGGAGAAGGGGUGCUCUUUAGGGUUAACGCCCAGAAGAGCCGCAGUGAAUAGGCCCAAGCGACUGUUUAUCAAAAACACAGGUCUCUGCUAAACCGUAAGGUGAUGUAUAGGGGCUGACGCCUGCCCGGUGCUGGAAGGUUAAGAGGAGUGGUUAGCUUCUGCGAAGCUACGAAUCGAAGCCCCAGUAAACGGCGGCCGUAACUAUAACGGUCCUAAGGUAGCGAAAUUCCUUGUCGGGUAAGUUCCGACCCGCACGAAAGGCGUAACGAUUUGGGCACUGUCUCAACGAGAGACUCGGUGAAAUCAUAGUAC
rnacentral:rRNA from 1 species